AAGGCACUAGUAUAACCGAUCAGUACACGGCCUUGUCGAGGCCGAAUUGCGGGUUAAAUCCCCGCGCGCCUUG
rnacentral:tRNA from 1 species